rnacentral:rRNA from 1 species
CAGCAGCCGCGGUAAUACGAAGGGGGCUAGCGUUGUUCGGAAUCACUGGGCGUAAAGCGCACGUAGGCGGACUUUUAAGUCAGGGGUGAAAUCCCAAGGCUCAACCUCGGAACUGCCUUUGAUACUGGAAGUCUUGAGUUCGGGAGAGGUGAGUGGAACUGCGAGUGUAGAGGUGAAAUUCGUAGAUAUUCGCAAGAACACCAGUGGCGAAGGCGGCUCACUGGCCCGAUACUGACGCUGAGGUGCGAAAGCGUGGGGAGCAAACAGGAUUAGAUACCCCUGUAGUCCCUGUCUCUUAUAC